AGCAAUUUCAAAGCAAAUAUUGAUGAUAUCUUAAAAGCUAAACACCAGUUUCACAAGUCUCACUAACCUUUUUUGCUGCUUAGUUUGUGAGAUUCAGAUAUGGGCACACUGGGUGUGAUAUAACUAUCUUAUUGCUAAUGUCACCUUCUUUGAUAACUUUUUGAUGAAUAAAUAUAUUGGUUGUCUUUAUUUUUUGUGUAUUCACUGUACUAUAUUGAACAAAAUGAUUAUGUGGCCCACGUUCAUCAUUUUCUCAGUUAUCUGGCCCGCAGUGAAAAAAGUUUGGUGAUUCCUGGUAUAGAACAGAUGUCUGGCAU